UUCGGUUCAGGUUUUACUAGUACUACAAAAGAAAGCAAGAAAUCACCACACUACAGUUGGAUCCUGGAAAGGGGAGACUAUUCUCUCGGUUCCUCUGGCUGCAUCCUCAUCCAAACAAUUUUGACCAAGUUCAGAACAUGGAUAAAUCACCAUACUACAGCAAUCCUGCAAGAGAGAAACUAAUAUCUCUGUUCCUUGACCAGAUUAAUUUUUGAUCAGGCCAUGGG
rnacentral:lncRNA from 1 species